rnacentral:snRNA from 1 species
AUGCCUUUCUCAGCCUUUUGGCUAAGAUCAAGUGUAGUAUCUGUUCUUUAACAGUUUAGUAACAAAACUAAUAAAGUCAAAAUCGGACUUCAA